AUGCAUGCAUGGCCCGUUGGCCGGGCAUGCAUUCAAUCCAGCCAUCACUCUUCCUACCUAAGUUUGCUUUUAUAGUCUUCACUUGGUGAUCGAUCUGCCAUAAUGUGCCCUUUCUAAGUGCGCUAGCUUAAUUGGCUGUCGCAGCUACUAGCUCGCAAGUUACUCCUCCAUACAGCACAACACCGCUUGCUGCCACGCUAGCUCUAGCUGAAUUGCCCAUGCAUGCGACGAUGUCUGAGGUAGAAGAGAUAGUCUCGACGGCCGGAGGAGGAGGCUCGUCGUCACCGGCGCCGGUAUGGUGGUUCGCGCUCCUCCUGGCCCUGGGUCUCCGCACCGCCGUGGCCAGCGCGGCGACCUUCAUCUCGUGGCUCUACCGCACGCGUUUCCGGCCCGGGCGCGACCUGGGCGCGCGCUACGGCUCCUGGGCCGUGAUCACAGGCGCCACGGACGGCAUCGGGCGGGCCCUGGCCCUGGAGCUGGCCCGAGAGGGGCUCCACCUGGUGCUCGUGGGCCGGAGCCCCGCCAAGCUGGCCCGCGUCGGCGACGAGGCCCGCCGGGAUACCUCCAUCAAGGUGAAGACGGUCGUGUUCGACCUGGCCGGGGACGGGGCCGAGAUGGGCCGGGGCGCGGCGAGCGUGGCGGAGGCCGUGGACGGGCUGGACGUGGGCCUGCUGGUGAACAACGCGGGCGCCACGUACCCCUGCGCGGCCUUCUUCCACGAGGUGGAGACGGAGACGUGGGAACGCGUGGUCAAGGUGAACGUGGAGGCCGCCACCCGGAUCUCCCGCGCCGUCGUGCCCGGGAUGGUCGCCAGGCGGAGGGGCGCCGUCGUUAAUGUCGGAUCCGGCUCGGCGCUCGUCGUGCCGGCUUUCCCGCUCUACGCCGUCUACGCCGCCAGCAAAGCAGUCCACAUGCAGCCAGAACGGCGCCGCAGCCUGGGAGGCCUCAGGCCAGGGAGAUACAACAGAGACACUGCGGUGUUGCUGUUCUAUUCUCAUAUUCUGAACAACCCAUCAUACGGAGUAGUGAAUAAUUUCGUCACACGAUUUCUUUUCCCUCCUAUUCUGAUCAACCCAGAUCUGUUCUGCGGAUCUGCUACUCCGUAUUUCUUUUUUUUCGAAAACCCGGCAGGCGGAGCUGCCGUUUUCAUCGAAGGAAGAAGCAGUUCGUACUCGUACAGGCGCUCGAGUAGAGCAAAUACAGACAAACAAAAGAAAGAGAGAAAAGGAAGCAAAAGAAAACAGCUAAAGACUAGCCUAGCCGGACUUCUCGUCACACGAAUAAUCGUUACGUAGAUUUGCAAUAACCAAUUAUGUGCAACUUUGCUUUUUCUAGUACCGGUUUAAUUUGCCCAUCUCGGAUUUUCUGUCUUUCUGCUGAUUUCGAUGUAUGGGUCUUGAACAAACUUUAUUUAUCUCGUCUCCUAGUUUUGCUCAGUUAGCAUUUGAUCGCGUUUACAUAUAGUCCAUGCUCUAGAGCUCCCUCGUAUCAUCUCACUCUGUGAUCUCUCUGUACGUAUAGUGUUGUUUAUUUAGUUCUCGACCGAUCCGAUCGCCUGGUGGCGUCUCCGCCGUGUUUACGCUAUGUAUUAUUACGAGACGUACGUACAAAAAGAUGCCUACCUACGUGCAAACUACAGUAUUUUAUAUGGGGUGUCUAUUUCUUAGUCGAUUUAGAAAUAGUUAUUUUUCAGUCAACAGAUUAAGAUUUUCUCAUUAUUUGUAUUUACAUGAAUUUUACACGAAUCUCAACGAUCGGAAUCGGAUCACGGUUGUUGCAUCGACUUAGAAAUAGUCAUUUCUCAAUCUCCUUAGAAAUAACAAAACCUCCGUUGGAUCGAUGUAUAGAAAACGAUAAGCAAAUUUUGUUGUUUCUUAUCUCCAGUUGAUACGUAUAUCUUGAUUCUUAACUUAAUUUUUUUAUCUUCAUAAAUCUAGCUAUUGUGGUCUUACAAAUUCUAAAUCUAAAGCUUUCGUACUUCAUAGAUGAUUACGCAAUAACUAGGUUUAGGUCAUCCUCCGAUUUAAACAUGUACUCUCUCCGAUUUCUAAUACGUGUCUUGAAUUUAAUAGUACAAAAUACAAAGUUAACUUUAUACUAGAUCCAAGACACUUGUUAUAGAUCGAUCGGAGUGAGUAACUACAAAAGAGAUAGAAAGAUCUUAAUCAAACAUUUAUCAACUGAAAAAUAGUCAUUUAAAAAUCGACGCAACUGGCACUCUCUAAAUUCUAGCCUUAUAUACCAACGGGCACUCUAUUUCCUUGAACUUUUUUACAUUUUUGUUUUGGGGCCACCUAUUACUUCUCCUUUAUUUGCGGGGAGGGGCCACCUAUUUCUUCAUUCAUUUACGAUCUACGGACAAUCUUUAUUAGCUAGGGACAGGGUUAGAAUGGCUUUGCAAGAACCAUGCUGUCCAGCAGAGAGGAGAACACUAGAACCAGGCAUCCUUUUUACAGCAUAAAAUCGAGUAAAAGCUGCUUGGACAGUACUGCAUCCAUUAUUCCUGCACACUUAUGUUUGGUGUAACUGCCCUCUGUCCAAACCAGAUGGCAUAUUAAUGCUCACUUAAUAUGGCCUUGGAUGGAAUCACGGAAAGGCAGGAGUAGAUGCUUCUCUUCCAAUAAAUGGUGUGCCUCCUGAUCAUUACUGAAUACAGCAACGGGAUGGGAUGGCUCGUUAGCAACAAAUCAUAUAUACAGCAGAAAGCAUAUGUGAAACAUACUCCAAUUUUGUCAUGUCAGUUAUGCAUUCAGGUGUAUACGCUGACAUGCAUGAAAACGGCUAAAAUUGUGCGAAACCGUGGAAAUGCUUACCAGUAUUUAUGAUCUCCAAACGUGAACCCUUUGUUUAGGUACAUCGACCAGUUGUCUCGAAGCCUGAGCGUUGAGUACAAACACUACGGAGUGGACGUCCAAUGCCAGAUCCCUCUGUACGUGGCGACGAAGAUGUCCCCCGUGAAGGGCGAGUCGCCGUUCAUCCCGUCGCCGGAGGAGUACGCGAG